CCUACGGGGGGCUGCAGUGAGGAAUAUUGGGCAAUGGGGGCAACCCUGACCCAGCCAUGCCGCGUGAGUGAAGAAGGUCUUCGGAUUGUAAAGCUCUUUCGGACGUGACGAUGAUGACGGUAGCGUCUAAAGAAGCACCGGCAAACUUCGUGCCAGCAGCCGCGGGAAUACGAAGGGUGCGAGCGUUGUUCGGAAUUAAUGGGCGUAAAGGGAGUGUAGGCGGAUAUGUAAGAUAGCGGUGAAAUGCCUGGGGUCAACCCCGGAACUGCCAUUAUGACUAUGUAUCUAGAGUAAGGGAGAGGAUAGCGGAAUACCCAGUGUAGAGGUGAAAUGCGUAGAUAUUGGGUAGAACACCGGUGGCGAAGGCGGCUAUCUGGCCAUUCACUGACGCUGAGGCUCGAAAGCAUGGGUAUCAAACAGGAUUAGAUACCCGGGUAGUC
rnacentral:rRNA from 1 species